rnacentral:rRNA from 1 species
UUCGUAGGGGGCUAGCGUUGUCCGGAUUUAUUGGGCGUAAAGAGCUCGUAGGUGGUUCGGUAAGUCGGAUGUGAAAUCUCCAGGCUCAACCUGGAGGGGUCAUUCGAUACUGCCGUGACUAGAGUUCGGUAGAGGAGUGUGGAAUUCCUGGUGUAGCGGUGAAAUGCGCAGAUAUCAGGAGGAACACCGGUGGCGAAGGCGGAUCUCUGGGCCGAUACUGACGCUGAGGAGCGAAAGCGUGGGGAGCGAACAGG